AAUUAUGAAAUGACUCUCGGCAACGGAUAUCUCGGCUCUCGCAUCGAUGAAGAACGUAGCGAAAUGCGAUACGUGGUGUGAAUUGCAGAAUCCCGUGAACCAUCGAGUUUUUGAACGCAAGUUGCGCCCGAGGCCAUUUGGCCGAGGGCACGCCUGCCUGGGCGUCAGUU
rnacentral:rRNA from 3 species